rnacentral:rRNA from 1 species
UAAAAGUCGUAACAAGGUUUCCGUAGGUGAACCUGCGGAAGGAUCAUUAUUGGAUAGCAAGAGACUGUCGCUGGCCCCCCUCUGGGGGGUAAAGUGCACGUCUCUUCCUUUAUCUUCCCCACCUGUGCACUGA